ACCUAGCUAGCCUCCACACCUCUGAUUCCUGUUACCCCUGCACAGAGGUUACCACUUUCAGCUAGGAGGCUCUGUGCAGCGCCCAUUCCCCGGAGUGCUUAUCUGCAUUCCACAUCACAACAUCAUGCAGUGUACUGGGAGUUAAAGAGCAAAUGCUUUAGUUCCGGUUCCUGUCUGGAAGAGAAGAACUACGUUCCCCAAGAGCCUUUUUGAGUACUGUUAUCAUUCCUGCUCAAGGGAACAGAUAUAAGGGCACAGGUCAUCUGACUCGCCCCUCUUCUCAUCUUGCCGUGUUCCCUG
ensembl:lncRNA